rnacentral:rRNA from 1 species
CCUACGGUGUGCUGCAGUGGGGAAUAUUGGACAAUGGGCGAAAGCCUGAUCCAGCCAUGCCGCGUGUGUGAAGAAGGCCUUCGGGUUGUAAAGCACUUUCAGUGGGGAAGAAAGCCUUGGGGCUAAUACCCUCGAGGAAGGACAUCACCCACAGAAGAAGCACCGGCUAACUCCGUGCCAGCAGCCGCGGUAAUACGGAGGGUGCGAGCGUUAAUCGGAAUUACUGGGCGUAAAGCGCGCGUAGGCGGUCUGAUAAGCCGGUUGUGAAAGCCCCGGGCUCAACCUGGGAACGGCAUCCGGAACUGUCAGGCUAGAGUGCAGGAGAGGAAGGUAGAAUUCCCGGUGUAGCGGUGAAAUGCGUAGAGAUCGGGAGGAAUACCAGUGGCGAAGGCGGCCUUCUGGACUGACACUGACGCUGAGGUGCGAAAGCGUGGGUAGCAAACAGGAUUAGAUACCGAGUAGUC